rnacentral:snoRNA from 1 species
AAGACCUUACUUCAUAGGAUCAUUUCUAUAGUAAGCUCUUCACGAGACUCACACAACAUGUGAGAUCUAUCCAGCCAUGUUGAUGAGAUGUGGCGCGGUGUCCUGAGCGGGAGACGGACGGUGACCUAAGGUCAUCAGUCUUCGAUGAUCGUUCACUCGACCCUAUCGGGGGUUGGGCGUGGGAUGCCGUUGCUAUCUGAGUGGC